GCGGGUAUAGCUUAAUGGUAAAGCCCCUGCCUUCCAAGCAGGUGAUGUCGGUUCGAUUCCGUCUACCCGCU
rfam:Rhodovulum sp. ES.010 genome assembly, contig: Ga0114012_11